ncrna:Glycine max miR4344 stem-loop (gma-MIR4344)
UUAAGACAGUGCUUACCUCAACAACGUCUUUGAAAGUAGACAUUCUAAGACGUUGCUGAUAUAAGCACCGUCUUAAAAUGCGUACUUUCAAAGACGUUGCUGAUGUAAGCACCGUUUUU